rnacentral:rRNA from 1 species
CAGGACGAACGCUGGCGGCGUGCUUAACACAUGCAAGUCGAGCGAUGAAGCUUCUCGGAAGUGGAUUAGCGGCGGACGGGUGAGUAACACGUGGGUAACUUGCCUCAUAGAGGGGAAUAGCCUUCCGAAAGGAAGAUUAAUACCGCAUAAGAUUGUAAUAUCGCAUGAUAUAGCAAUUAAAGGAGUAAUCCGCUAUGAGAUGGACCCGCGUCGCAUUAGCUAGUUGGUGAGGUAACGGCUCACCAAGGCGACGAUGCGUAGCCGACCUGAGAGGGUGAUCGGCCACAUUGGGACUGAGACACGGCCCAGACUCCUACGGGAGGCAGCAGUGGGGAAUAUUGCACAAUGGGGGAAACCCUGAUGCAGCAAACCGCCGCGUGAGUGAUGACGGUCUUCGGAUUGUAAAGCUCUGUCUUCAGGGACGAUAAUGACGGUACCUGAGGAGGAAGCCACGGCUAACUACGUGCCAGCAGCUGC